UGAUUAAAAUUUCCAAGAUGGCCUCUUGAUCCUAUUAUUUGCCUACAUGUACCUUAUUUCUUGGUUGCAUGUUAUUGCAGUGAUUUUGACCUGACUUCAAUCUUAUCAGUCACAAAAUAGACUGCACAGCUUUUGAUAGACUAUGACUGUUUUUAAAGUCACCAUUUGAUGGAUUUUAUCCCUGAAACAGCGUAAAAGGCACAUGAUUUCUGCCUUACUCCUAGGUAUAUUUUGGCUUGAUGGAACUGGAAAUGAAUGUGGGACUCUGUACAGUAUUCUGCAAUACUAGUUACACUUAUGCCAAUCCCUUUUGCAACAUUGCAGCUAAAUAUACCAAUCUGAUUGUAUGGAGUGGGCUUGGAUCAUAGAUUGGUUAGUUGUCAAUGGUUCAUUCAGUGGUGGGUUGCCCUCAAUUCAGACCAGUUUGCAAAAACCAGUAGUAAAACCCGUGGGAGGCUCUGCCCACUGACCCAGACGUCAUCAUAGGUGAUCUGCGCACGCGCAAUGCAAACCAGUAGUAAAGGUUUGGGAGAAAUGGGGAGAGCAACUGUGAGGGACAAGAAAGGAAGUCUGAGAAAACAGUGAGAACAUCCUACACUUCUUCCUUUGCUUCAGAGGAAACCAUAUGAUUUGUGGCUUGUGUUUGGCAACUCAAGGCAGAAGAUGAGAAGGGCUUCCCUGUAUUUCUUAUUGGAACAUUCCAAUUGAGAAUGCCCAUUGGCAGUGUCUGCGUGGGAUACAGGUCACAAAAGGCAAGAUAGUAGAAGUCCUGUCUUCCCCCUUCUGUGCCCAUUAAUUUAAACUGUAUUGAAGCUGGAGACCUUUUCUAAGAAAUGGGACCUAUGGACCAACUCUAUUAGCCUCGUCAGUGCUAGAUCAGCAGCAAAGCUAUCUUUCUCCAAUUUCACUCCCUACAGUUGUAUCAGAAUCACGACUCCUAGUACUUCUAGCCAGCAUGAAUACAAUUCUGGAAAUUGUAUUCCCUCUACAUUAGGAGAGCUCUCUGGGCCAUUAGUGUGAUUGUAAUAAAUAUUUAGCUCAGGAAAUUGCAAACCAAAAUAUAGAGAACAGAAUGGGAAGGGAACCCAGUCAGCAGCCUGUUGAUGUAUCUUUUAUUUUUUCCCCAAUGCUGAUCCCUUGAUUUUUGGGGGGAGGCAGAGGGAGAAAUAAAUUUUGAUUUCUUUUUGGGAGACAUUAAAACAAUAUUCCUGUGUUUUGUGUAUUACUUUUUGUAUUGCCUUUUUUUUUCCAUUUUUGCUGGUCUCAGUCGUGUGUCUUAACAAUAUUUUGAUAUGUAGUAACAAGAGGAAAGCUUUAUCACUUGACUUUAGCUCUAUAUUCAGAAAAGCAAAAUCAGCUAUAUUUCUGGGUGCUUGACUGCUAUACUAAAGGCAUAGGAAUGUUGAUGGUUAAAAAAAAGAUGGAUAUAAUCAAGCAAUUGUGUUCAGUGAGGCUUGUAGAGGACAUUCUGAUGGAUCAUGCUCCGUAAGUCUCAGAUCUGCUUGUCUUGCAGUCCACCACCCAUAAUUGCUUCAAAAAUCAGAUUCAUCUCCAGCUGCAGUACAGCCACCUCUAGCUGUGGCUAUUAAAAAUUCACUCUUGCCAACUGCUGCCAUGCUGAGAAUUUGAGUCCUUUACUAUUAUUAUUUUUUCACAUUUCAGUAAGCCUUUUGAAACUGAAUUGUAGACCAAAGCUAUGUGGCCAUGUUAUUCAUUUCUGUUGAGUUCCUGAUUUAACAAACAAACAGACAAAUAAAUUGUCAUUCAAAAACUGUGCAA